AUUGAACGCUGGCGGCAAGCCUUACACAUGCAAGUCGAACGGCAGCACGGGUGCUUGCACCUGGUGGCGAGUGGCGAACGGGUGAGUAAUACAUCGGAACAUGUCCUGUAGUGGGGGAUAGCCCGGCGAAAGCCGGAUUAAUACCGCAUACGAUCUACGGAUGAAAGCGGGGGACCUUCGGGCCUCGCGCUAUAGGGUUGGCCGAUGGCUGAUUAGCUAGUUGGUGGGGUAAAGGCCUACCAAGGCGACGAUCAGUAGCUGGUCUGAGAGGACGACCAGCCACACUGGGACUGAGACACGGCCCAGACUCCUACGGGAGGCAGCAGUGGGGAAUUUUGGACAAUGGGCGAAAGCCUGAUCCAGCAAUGCCGCGUGUGUGAAGAAGGCCUUCGGGUUGUAAAGCACUUUUGUCCGGAAAGAAAUCCUUGGCCCUAAUACGGUCGGGGGAUGACGGUACCGGAAGAAUAAGCACCGGCUAACUACGUG
rnacentral:rRNA from 1 species